rnacentral:rRNA from 1 species
UACGUAUGGUGCAAGCGUUAUCCGGAUUUACUGGGUGUAAAGGGAGCGUAGACGGAGGGGCAAGUCUGAAGUGAAAGCCCGGGGCCCAACCCCGGGACUGCUUUGGAAACUGUCCGUCUGGAGUGCCGGAGAGGUUAAUGGAAUUCCUAGUGUAGCGGUGGAAUGCGUAGAUAUUAGGAGGAACACCAGAGGCGAAGGCGAUUAACUGGACUGUAACUGACGCUGAGGCACGAAAGUGUGGGGAGCAAACAGG